rnacentral:rRNA from 1 species
GCCUAAUAAUGCAAGUCGAACGAGAUCUUCGGAUCUAGUGGCGCACGGGUGCGUAACGCGUGGGAAUCUGCCCUUGGGUUCGGAAUAACGUCGGGAAACUGACGCUAAUACCGGAUGAUGACGAAAGUCCAAAGAUUUAUCGCCCAGGGAUGAGCCCGCGUAGGAUUAGCUAGUUGGUGAGGUAAAGGCUCACCAAGGCUACGAUCCUUAGCUGGUCUGAGAGGAUGAUCAGCCACACUGGGACUGAGACACGGCCCAGACUCCUACGGGAGGCAGCAGUAGGGAAUAUUGGACAAUGGGGGCAACCCUGAUCCAGCAAUGCCGCGUGAGUGAUGAAGGCCUUAGGGUUGUAAAGCUCUUUUACCCGAGAUGAUAAUGACAGUAUCGGGAGAAUAAGCUCCGGCUAACUCCGUGCCAGCAGCCGCGGUAAUACGGAGGGAGCUAGCGUUGUUCGGAAUUACUGGGCGUAAAGCGCACGUAGGCGGCGAUUUAAGUCAGAGGUGAAAGCCCGGGGCUCAACCCCGGAACUGCCUUUGAGACUGGAUUGCUUGAAUCCUGGAGAGGUGAGUGGAAUUCCGAGUGUAGAGGUGAAAUUCGUAGAUAUUCGGAAGAACACCAGUGGCGAAGGCGGCUCACUGGACAGGUAUUGACGCUGAGGUGCGAAAGCGUGGGGAGCAAACAG